rnacentral:rRNA from 1 species
ACGAUAGCUAAGACCCAAACUGGGAUUAGAUACCCCACUAUGCUUAGCCCUAAACCUAGAUAGUUAACCCAAACAAAACUAUCCGCCAGAGAACUACUAGCAACAGCUUAAAACUCAAAGGACUUGGCGGUGCUUUAUAUCCCUCUAGAGGAGCCUGUUCCAUAAUCGAUAAACCCCGAUAAACCUCACCAUCUCUUGCUAAUUCAGCCUAUAUACCGCCAUCUUCAGCAAACCCUAAAAAGGAAGAAAAGUAAGCACAAGUAUCUUAACAUAAAAAAGUUAGGUCAAGGUGUAGCCCAUGAGAUGGGGAAGUAAUGGGCUACAUUUUCUAUAACUAGAACAUCCACGAAAAUCCUUAUGAAAUUAAGUAUUAAAGGAGGAUUUAGUAGUAAAUUCGAGAAUAGAGAGCUCGAUUGAAUCGGGCCAUGAAGCACGCACACACCGCCCGUCACCCUCCUCAAGUGAUUAGACCCCAAAGAAACCUAUUCAAACCACUA